CAACGUACUGCCCUGUUGUGAGUGGUC
rnacentral:sRNA from 1 species